rnacentral:rRNA from 1 species
UAAUGGAAUUAUUUAAUUUAUUUAUUAUUUAUCUUUUAUUUAUUAAGAAUAAUUUAAAUUUCAGUAUAUUUAUUAGAAUAAAUUUAUUUAUAUUUAUAGUUAAUUUUACUGUAAGGUAUUAUUAUUAUUAUUAUUAAAAGUAGAAUUUAUUUUUUGUACCUUUUGUAUCAGGGUUUAUCAAAUAGUCACAUAUAUAUAUGUUAUUCCCGAAAUUAUAAGUGCUAUACUUAUUUGCUUUUUAUUGUGGAAUAAUAUAUAUGGAAAAUAAGUAUAGGGGUUAUAUGCUAUUCAUUUAUAAAUAUCUGGUUUCUUAAGAAAUAAAUUUAAUUUAGGGUAUUAUAUUGAAUAUAGAGUUAAUUAAAUUACUCAUAUUUAUAAUUCUUAACAUUUGAGGGGAUAAGCUCUCAGUUGAUUCUAUAAUUGUAUUGUAAAUAAUAAAAUUAUGUAGGUUUAGUAACGGCCAUCUUUAAUUUCGUUAUAGUUUAAUUUACUUUUAUCUUUUAUUUCUUAACUAUUUAGAAUUUUAUUAAGAUUUUUUAUUUAAUUAUUUAAUAAAAAUAAUUAUGAUAGAAUUAGUAAUUUAGGUAAACUAUAUAUAGGAACUCGGCAAUUAUUAUAUUCACCUGUUUAUCAAAAACAUGACCUGUUGAUUAUUUAUAUUAGGCCAGGCCUGCCCACUGAUGUUAAUUAAAGGGCCGCAGUAAUUUGACUGUGCGAAGGUAGCAUAAUCAUUUGUCUAUUAAUUGUAGGCUUGUAUGAAUGGUUUAAUGAAAUAUUAACUUUCUUUAUAUAGUAUUUAUGAAUUUAAUUUUUAAGUUAAAAAGCUUAAAUGUUUAUGGAGGACGAGAAGACCCUAUAGAAUUUUAUCAUUAUUGAUUAUUGUUUAUUUGGUUAAUUUUAAAAUUAAUAAUAUGAUAAUGAUUUUGUUGGGGCGACAUGGAGAUUAAAUUAACUCUCUUUAUUUAUAUUUUAUUUAUUUAUAUAUAUAGGAUCCCUUUUUAAGGAUUAUAAGAUUAAAUUACCUUAGGGAUAACAGCGUAAUUUUUAUGGAGAGUUCUUAUCGAUAUAAGGGUUUGCGACCUCGAUGUUGGAUUAAAUUAAGAUUUGGGUGUAGAAGCUUAAAUUUCUAGGUCUGUUCGACCUUUAAUUAUUUACAUGAUCUGAGUUCAGACCGGCGUGAGCCAGGUUGGUUUCUAUCCUCAUUAUUAUGAAUAUGUUUUAGUACGAAAGGACCAUUCAUAUUGAAUAAUUCAUUUGUUUAUGGAUAUUAUUAAU